ACCCGUCUCUGAACACGGACCAAGGAGUCUAACGCGCGCGCGAGUCAGAGGGUCUCGCUCCGAAACCCCGUGGCGCAAUGAAAGUGAAGGCCGGCGCGCGCCGGCCGAGGUGGGAUCCCGGCCCUUCGCGGGCCGGGCGCACCACCGGCCCGUCUCGCCCGCCCCGUCGGGGAGGUGGAGCAGGAGCGCGUGCGAUAGGACCCGAAAGAUGGUGAACUAUGCCUGGGCAGGGCGAAGCCAGAGGAAACUCUGGUGGAGGCCCGCAGCGGUCCUGACGUGCAAAUCGGUCGUCCGACCUGGGUAUAGGGGCGAAAGACUAAUCGAACCAUCUAGUAGCUAUUUUCCUUCCGA
rnacentral:rRNA from 1 species